rnacentral:misc_RNA from 1 species
AACAUUUGGGUGGGAGAAGAUUGUCGGAAGCAAAGGAAAAGCAAUCGGCAUUGACCGCUUUGGAGCAAGUGCUCCAGCAGGGAAAAUUUACAAAGAGUUUGGCAUAACUGUUGAGGCUGUUAUCGCCGCUGCUAAACAAGUUAUCUAGAACAGGUUAGUUGUAAUUCGCUGAAACGAAUCCAACAUCUACCAUUUGUUUAAAUUUGGGCGGGAAUUUCUG